rnacentral:rRNA from 1 species
CUACGGGUGGCAGCAGGCGCGAAACCUUUACAAUGCACGAAAGUGCGAUAAGGGAACCCCAAGUGCGUAUGCAUAAGUAUAUGCUUUUGCCAAGAGUAAAUACCUUGGCGAAUAAGUGGUGGGAAAGACUGGUGCCAGCCGCCGCGGUAAUCCCAGCGCCACAAGUGGCAAUCAUAAUUAUUGGGCCUAAAGCGUCCGUAGCAGGUUUUGUAAAUCUUCUGUGAAAUCGUUGCGCUCAACGUAACGGCGUGCAGGAGAGACUGCAUUACUAGGGACCGGGAGGCGUCGAGGGUAUUCCAGGGGGAGCGGUAAAAUGUUAUAAUCCUUGGAGGACCACCUGUGGCGAAGGCGCUCGACGAGAACGGAUCUGACUGUGAGGGACGAAAGCCAGGGGGGCAAUCCGGAUUAGAUACCCCAGUAGUC